rnacentral:rRNA from 1 species
AGCGAAAUGUGAUAAGUGGUGUGAAUUGCAGAAUCCCGUGAACCAUCGAGUCUUUGAACGCAAGUUGCGCCCGAGGCCAUCAGGCUAAGGGCACGCCUGCCUGGGCGUCGUAUGUUUUAUCUCUCCUUCCAAUGCUUGUCCAGCAUAUAGCUAGGCCAUCAUUGUGU